GACGGGUGAGUAAUGUCUGGGAAACUGCCUGAUGGAGGGGGAUAACUACUGGAAACGGUAGCUAAUACCGCAUAACGUCGCAAGACCAAAGAGGGGGACCUUCGGGCCUCUUGCCAUCGGAUGUCCCGCCAGAUGGGAUUAGCUAGUAGGUGGGGUAACGGCUCACCUAGGCGACGAUCCCUAGCUGGUCUGAGAGGAUGACCAGCCACACUGGAACUGAGACACGGUCCAGACUCCUACGGGAGGCAGCAUG
rnacentral:rRNA from 1 species